GAUGAACGCUGACAGAAUGCUUAACACAUGCAAGUCAACUUGAACUUCGGUUUGGGUGGCGGACGGGUGAGUAACGCGUAAAGAACUUGCCUCACAGCUAGGGACAACAUUUGGAAACGAAUGCUAAUACCUGAUAUUAUGAUUUUAGGGCAUCCUAGAAUUAUGAAAGCUAUAUUCGCUGUGAGAGAGCUUUGCGUCCCAUUAUCUAGUUGGAGAGGUAACGGCUCACUAAGGCGAUGAUGGGUAGCCGGCCUGAGAGGGGGAACGGGCACACGGGGACUGAGGCGCGACCCUUACGCCUACGGGAGGCAGGGGUGGGGGAUUUUGGACGAUGGACCGAGAGACUGAUCCAGCAAUUCUGUGUGCACGAUGAAGUUUUUCGGAAUGAAAAGUGCUUUCAGUUGGGAAGAAAAAAAUGACGGUACCAACAGAAAAAGUGACGGCUAAAUACGUG
rnacentral:rRNA from 1 species